AACGAACGCUGGCGGCAGGCUUAACACAUGCAAGUCGAACGCCCCGCAAGGGGAGUGCAGACGGGUGAGUAACGCGUGGGAACGUGCCCUUCGCUUCGGAAUAUUCCCGGGAAACUGGGAGCAAUGCCGGAUACGCCGCAUUGGGAAAGAUUUAUCGGCGGAGGAUCGGCCCGCGUUAGAUUAGGUAGUUGGUGGGGUAAUGGACUACCAAGCCUACGAUCUAUAGCUGGUCUGAGAGGAUGAUCAGCCACACUGGGACUGAGACACGGCCCAGACUCCUACGGGAGGCGGCAGUGGGGAAUCUUGGACGAUGGGCGCAAGCCUGAUCCGGCCAUGCCGCGUGGGUGAAGAAGGCCUUAGGGUUGUAAAACUCUUUGGCCGGUGAAGAUAAUGACGGUAGCCGGAGAAGAAGCCCCGGAUAACUUCGUGCCAGCAGCCGCCGUAACAC
rnacentral:rRNA from 1 species